UCGCGAGAUAGUGUAGCAGCGGCGUUUCGGGGAUUACGGAAAAUCACAACACACGUCUGGCACCAGGCUUCACCCACAACGACCCUGUUCCAGCACCAGCGAAUGUGGUUGUUCUCUGGCGUCUGCUGGGACCGGGAGGCCACAGUCUCCGCCAGAUGUCCUCCCAGCAAGGGAGCCGCCUGUCCCGUGUGGCCCGAGGACCGCCCGGACCCCACUCUGCUCCUGGGGAUUCGCCCUUCCCACCAGAGCACCGCCAGGUGGCAAUACGCUCUGAUAAAAAGGAUAGAUUUUCCAGCUUCUCUUAAAUCUAGAGACAUUCAGCCAGCUGCGUUUUCCUCAGCAUUCCAUAUUGCCAGAGGGAGAGGGGAGAAUGCAUCUCCUGUUGUAAUCUCUAGCUCCAACAUGGAUUUGUGACCCUGGAAAGACUGUGGUCAAAGCCUGUCUGGACCAACAAGACACUGAGCCCGUGCGAUGUUGUUUGAAGCGGGUCACCUUGGAACAAGGCUGAGUGUCGCAUCGUCUCCUGGAGUCUCUAGAUCUGUGUAUAUCUGCACUAUCUCAUUGAUCUCUAAAAAGUGACAUUGAUGCCAACUGCCAGAGCUGGUACCCAUGCCAUCUGCUAGUGACGUCACAGGGCAGAGAGAACCAUGUGAUCCUCUCUCUUGGGACCUUCAUUCUGCACUGAUCAUCUGGCAUCCCUGAAUUUGGAAUAAAAGAACAGUUUCUCCAUCUGGGGUCUGUGAAAGACAUCCUCAGACGCUCCCCUUUCUACACUUGCUGGUGUCUUUCAACAACUUUUCAGAGAGCUUCUUUAUCUGUAUCAAGGCAGAGACGUCUUCAAGUGCACCGUGAAGGAUUUCAAACUACAUUCUUGUGUCCGGUACCAAAAGUCACACUUCCCUCUUGCACUGUCCCAGACUCCUUCCAGUGGUAACUGGCUUGUUCUUUCUUUCUCAUUUCAUUUCCUACACAGUAAACAUCAAAAAAAAAAAAAAUAGCACUUAGGUUUUUGUCUUUCUCUUCCUGGCAUUCUGCUGAGUAUAUUAAUCAAAGAGAGGCUUUUCUGUUUUCUCAGAUUUUUUUUUUCCUUUCUCAUAAAAAUCUUCUCUUCACAUUUUUCCCCCUCAAGACUGACAGCCAAUUUAAAAAUCUCCUCAUUCUUACAUCAGUGUCCAGUUUUUUUUUCUUUUUUCAGAUUUAUUCCUAUUUCUCUUUCUCCCCACUCCCCACUUUUGAUUUCUUAACAAAAGCAGGGCAGAAACAGUUAGGCGAAACUGGCAAGGCCUUGUAGAUAAAAUGAACUGUGAAGCCAGAGGCAAACUCCACCUUCCUCUCCUUUUCCCUGCUCCCCUGUCACCCCCUUCCCUUGCAAAAAAAAAAAAAAAAAAAAAAGGAAAAGAAAAGAAAAAAAGAGGAUGUUUUAUUUCAGAGUCGCCUGUCAGGAAAGUAAAAAGUGUACUUAAAAAAAAGUUCAGAAAUGGACAAACACAACCUUUGUUGUUUGAUAACUGAAUAAUCUCUUUCUAUAAAGUGAGACAAUAUGCUUUUGGUAUUAAAGUAAUCCCUGGCAGAGUUGUAACUGUUGAAUCUGUGUUAGCAUUCCCCUUAUAAAUCCCAGUUUUGAAAGGUUUAGAAUUCUGCUGCUUUAAUGCUCUUUGGUUCCAAAUUGGCACCGGGGGUCUCAAAUUAAAUUCAGUUUUGCUCCUGUCGUAGCCCACCCGUUUCCGUCCCCCUCAAAGUUACUCAACUUUGCCUGGACGGGUCUAGAAAAGAUAGGGACGAUGGCAGAAGGGAGAGGUAUGCUAGGUAAAGGAGAAUAAUUUUUCUCUGUCGAUGGUUUGGUAAAAAUGCAAAUUUAAAAUAAAAAUAAGCCUAUAAAUUCACAAGUGAAGUGGGUUGGCCUGGCUUAUGUUUAAAAAAAAUCAGACCUACCCAAGGCUUUUCAAAAUGUGCUGCUUAAGGGGAUAUUACUGGUAAUGGGUGUGUUGAGUAUAUUUCAUGUAGCCUUUGGUUCAAAAAUGCACACACCUUUUCUUUCAACACAGAGAGUUUCUAUAGGAAGACCAGAGGCACACUUUUGUUUGAUCUCACAUAUAGUUUAGUUUUUAAAUGUAAAGGAGCAUAAGUACGAAGAGUCAGGAGCCACAAAGUGUGUCACGCAUUUUGCAUAUUGUACCAUAUUCUAAACUUGCAAAGUCUUCAGAAGCUGCAUUAUAUUAUAGGCAUCGCAAACACGAGAAUCAAAAUCUGAGGAAUAGGUAACAUGACAUGUUAGUAGAAAAUGAUCACCCAUGUAGCUCACCGCAAGGAUAGAUUUAUAUUUUAUCUUUGCAAUGUGCAGACAAAUGAGAAACAGUUUUUUUGAUGAAAACAUUUGGGACUGUUCUAUUUCUGCCUUUGAACGUGAAAUAAAAACCUUUGGUGGUGGUGAUGAGGUGGGGUGAGGGGGGAUAAAAUCUGUGUUGAGGUUUUUCUGAGUAUUAGUCUAUUGUUUGAAUGUCUUAGAUUUCUUUUUCAAAAAAAAAAAAAGGGGGAGAAAACAAAAAAGUUGUUAUGUCAAGAUUUAGCAAGGAUUCAGUGUGUUUGUACAAUAAUCUUUCAAAAGGAAUUUUGUUAUGCAUUUUCUACUAUAGUUCCAGAUAUGCAAAUGCAUGUGCUGUUAAUAUGCAUUCAUAACAUACACCACAACGGCUGUUCUACUCUCUGCUAAGAAAGCACGUUAACACCAAUACUCCAAACAGAAAUACAUUCUGAAUUGUAGACGAAUACUCCGAGUAUGGGGAGUAUAUUAUCACCAUCUCUAUAAUAGAUUUUCUCAUUUUGCAGCAAUGACUGCACACCAAAGUUUAUAUCCAUAACUGAAUUCAACACUGAUUUAGCUGAUAUGAUCUUUGCUUCUGGGGCCAAGACAUUUUAUAGAUUUUUUUUUAAGUCCCCAAUGUCUGUAUGCCCCUGUCUUGCUUUCACUGGGUAAUUUUUCAUAUUUCACUUAUAAAAGUGACCCACAGAAAAUGUAGCUAUAAUUUGACUCAGUUGCAAGGCAAUAGAAGCCAAAAGUGCAAAGUAAGGCAUAAAAGUGUUGUUAUUUUUAGGUCAUCCAGUUGGUACCUGUGUCACAGCAAAGGAGAAUUCUAUUGACUCCCUUUUUACACUCCUCUCAUAACUUAAGAGAUCAGUUUGGAACAUGGCAGGCAUUUUUUCUCAGCUCUCCUAGGGUGUAAGGCAACAGAAUGUAGACCUGGGCAGGAUCAGGCAGCAAAGCCUUAGGACCAUUUUUUCCCCCUAGAAGUAGGGUGCUUUCUGAGAUAGAUUUUUGGACAAUUUUCUCUAUUGCUUUUUUUUUUCCUUUUCUUUUUUUUUUUUUUUUUUUUUUUUAAGCUCUUAGACAAAUGCUUCAGGGCAGCCGGUAAGCCUGUGAGCGAGCCCAGCGUUAAUCCUUAGAGUUUUAACUCUGUGAUCCCCCGUGGCUUGAAAGAGUUUUAUGGCUGUGGCAGAAUAUUCCACUUUGGAAAACAGACCUUGGGAUUUAAAUAAAAGUAUUGAAAAUAUAAGGCAAAACACAAAGCAACCUUAUUCUCCUUGAAGAUUUAGAGGGCUUAAAAGUAUAAUU